GGCAACAAUUAGUGGGGGCAAAGUGUCAGUGCAUUCCCCAUUUGCUGAAAACCAAAAUAAGAAGGAUGCCUGCACACUGUGCUAAAUAGAGACGGCGCCGUAUAAUCACAACAGGAGAUAAUGGAAUAACAAAGGACCAGGAAGUAACCAUCCACAGGAUGAGGUUUGCUGCCUUUGUGUGCACAUCAUCAUGGGACUUCAGUUAUGGGCUCCAUGGUGUUGACUCAUGCUGUUUUUCAGCUGCAGUGUCUCUUCAGCUAAUAUGGGAAAAGAUUCAGUCGUGACCACGUCCAGAGAGUUCCAGGCAGAGAUACUCAGGCCAUUGUAAAGGC